UGGUAGCGUGGCCGAGCGGUCCAAGGCGCUGGUUUAAGGCACCAGUCUCUUCGGGGGCAUGGGUUCGAAUCCCAUUGUGCCAA
rnacentral:tRNA from 1 species